rnacentral:rRNA from 1 species
UACGGGGGGGGCAAGCGUUGUUCGGAAUUACUGGGCGUAAAGGGCUCGUAGGUGGCCAACUAAGUCAGACGUGAAAUCCCUCGGCUUAACCGGGGAACUGCGUCUGAUACUGGAUGGCUUGAGAUUGGGAGAGGGAUGCGGAAUUCCAGGUGUAGCGGUGAAAUGCGUAGAUAUCUGGAGGAACACCGAUGGCGAAGGCAGCCCCCUGGGUCAACACUGACGCUCAUGCACGAAAGCGUGGGGAGCAAACAGG